rnacentral:rRNA from 1 species
GGCUAACCUGCCCUUAGGACGAGAAUAACCCCGGGAAACUGGGGCUAAUGCUCGAUAGGUGAAGAACUCUGGAAUGAGUCUUCACUUAAAAGAGUCUGCGUUAUGCUCGUAGAUUUCGCUUAAGGAUGGGGCCGCGACCGAUCAGGUUGUUGGUGAGGUAAUGGCUCACCAAGCCUUUUACCGGUGCGGGCCGUGAGAGCGGGAGCCCGGAGAUGGGCACUGAGACAAGGGCCCAGGCCCUACGGGGCGCAGCAGUCGCGAAAACUUUGCAAUACACGAAAGUGUGACAGGGCUAUCCCGAGUGCCAUCCGCUGAGGAAGGCUUUUACCCAGUCUAGAACGCUGGGGGAAUAAGGAGAGGGCAAGUCUGGUGUCAGCCGCCGCGGUAAUACCAGCUCUCCGAGUGGUGUGGAUGUUUAUUGGGCCUAAAGCAUCCGUAGCUGGCUAAGUUAGUCCCCUGUUAAAUCCAACGAAUUA